UACGUAGGGUGCGAGCGUUGUCCGGAAUUAUUGGGCGUAAAGAGCUCGUAGGCGGUGUGUCGCGUCGAUCGUGAAAACUUUCAGCUUAACUGGGAGCUGGCGGUCGAUACGGGCAGGCUGGAGUUCGGUAGGGGAGACUGGAAUUCCUGGUGUAGCGGGUGAAAUGCGCAGAUAUCAGGAGGAACAUCAGUGGCGAAAGCAGCUCUCUGGGACGGUACUGACGCUGAGACGCGAAAGCGUGGGGAGCGAACAGG
rnacentral:rRNA from 1 species